rnacentral:rRNA from 1 species
CCUACGGGAGGCAGCAGUGGGGAAUAUUGGACAAUGGGGGCAACCCUGAUCCAGCCAUGCCGCGUGUGUGAAGAAGGCUUUCGGGUUGUAAAGCACUUUCAGUGGGGAAGAAGGCCUGAGGGUUAAUAACCCUGAGGGAGGACAUCACCCACAGAAGAAGCACCGGCUAACUCCGUGCCAGCAGCCGCGGUAAUACGGAGGGUGCGAGCGUUAAUCGGAAUGACUGGGCGUAAAGCGCGCGUAGGUGGCUUGAUAAGCCGGUUGUGAAAGCCCCGGGCUCAACCUGGGAACGGCAUCCGGAACUGUCAGGCUAGAGUGCAGGAGAGGAAGGUAGAAUUCCCGGUGUAGCGGUGAAAUGCGUAGAGAUCGGGAGGAAUACCAGUGGCGAAGGCGGCCUUCUGGACUGACACUGACACUGAGGUGCGAAAGCGUGGGUAGCAAACAGGAUUAGAUACCCUGGUAGUCCACGCCGUAAACGAUGUCGACUAGCCGUUGGGUUCCUUGAGAACUUAGUGGCGCAGUUAACGCGAUAAGUCGACCGCCUGGGGAGUACGGCCGCAAGGUUAAAACUCAAAUGAAUUGACGGGGGCCCGCACAAGCGGUGGAGCAUGUGGUUUAAUUCGAUGCAACGCGAAGAACCUUAC